UUUGUGCUUGUAGGUGUGGAGGAAUGUGGAGAGUGGGUUGUUCACAUGUGGGAGGAGCACGGCAAGGUGAGUGUCGGUCUGAGAGCGGWAGCAGAGCCUAGCAUAGGGCUGUUGUCUCAUUGGUGCUGUCCCCAUUGCCCACUGCUGUUCUGGUUUUACAGGUGCAUGACAGGCCUCGGUGUGGUGGCUGGUUGCAUGGCAGUUGGGAUGGGCGAGCAGAACAGGUGAAGGUGUGGGAGGAAAUGGUUGAUGUGGGUGGGCUGUGGUUUUGCAGGUGUGACCCRAGCGCUUGCUUUCUGUUUGUGUUUGCAAGUUUUGCAGGAAGUUGUGGAGAGGCAAAGUUGAGCAUUGACAAGAGCCUGAGCAGGUCCUGUGUGGGCCUUUCCCAGGCAUGGCUGAGAAUGUCAGGUGAUGAAGGUGAAUGUGGUGACCGGAGGAAGAUCAGAGAGGAUGCGGCUGCCAUUGAGGAUGCGUCUUGAAGACAAAUGGUGACCCAGAGCACUGUAGAAGCUAAGUUGAGAGGCCAUGGGUGUCGGUGUGUCUUGACUGUGUGUGUGUGUGUGUGUGUGUGUGUGUGUGUGUGUGUGUGUGCGCGCGUGCACAUGUGUGCUGACAGUGAGUGUAGUGUGGAGGGCUCUUGUGGAUGAGUGCUGUGUGUGAGGCAGAGGCGGUGGGGUGUGCCUGGCAGAAGGUGAGUGUGUGCUAGGCAGGGCAGCUCCAGCCUGUGUCUGUGU
rnacentral:lncRNA from 1 species